rnacentral:rRNA from 1 species
AACGAACGCUGGCGGCGCGCCUAACACAUGCAAGUCGAACGAGAAUCCGGGGCAACCCGGUAGUAAAGUGGCAAACGGGUGAGGAAUACAUGGGUAACCUACCCUUGAGAAGGGAAUAACCCGCCGAAAGGUGAGCUAAUACCCUAUACGCUAUCUUUUUUUCGAAAAGGAUAGGAAAGCCGGGUCGAGGGCCUGGUACUCAAGGAGGGGCUCAUGUCCUAUCAGCUUGUUGGUGGGGUAACGGCCUACCAAGGCUACGACGGGUAGCUGGUCUGAGAGGAUGAUCAGCCACACUGGCACUGAGAUACGGGCCAGACUCCUACGGGAGGCAGCAGUGAGGAAUAUUGCGCAAUGGGCGAAAGCCUGACGCAGCGACGCCGCGUGGGGGAUGAAGGUUUUCGGAUUGUAAACCCCUUUCAUGAGGAAAGAUAAAGUGGUAACCACUUAGACGGUACCUCAAGAGAAGCCACGGCUAACUUCGUG